CGGCCUACGGGACGCAGCAGUAGGGAAUAUUGCUCAAUGAGGGAAACCCUGAAGCAGCAACGCCGCGUGGAGGAUGAAGGUUUUCGGAUUGUAACCUCCUUUUGUUAGAGAAGAUAAUGACGGUAUCUAACGAAUAAGCACCGGCUAACUCCGUGCCAGCAGCCGCGGUAAUACGGAGGGUGCAAGCGUUACUCGGAAUCACUGGGCGUAAAGAGCGCGUAGGCGGGAUAGCACGUCAGAUGUGAAAUCCUAUGGCUUAACCAUAGAACUGCAUUUGAUACUGUU
rnacentral:rRNA from 1 species